rnacentral:rRNA from 1 species
AAAGGUUACUUAAUGCAUAUGGUGGAUGCCUUGACUGAAGUAAGCGAUGAAGGACGCAGCAGGCUGCGAUAAUCCUCGGGGAGCUGUCAAGCAAGCUUUGAUCCGUGGGUUUCCGAAUGGGGCAACCCUACGUCUUCGGACGUAAUCACUGACUGAAUCAAUAGGUCAGCGAAGCAGACCCUGGGAAUUGAAACAUCUUAGUACCAGGAGGAAAAGAAAACAAUUGUGAUUCCGCAAGUAGUGGCGAGCGAACGCGGAAGAGUCUAAACCGUAUCCUUCGGGAUGCGGGGUUGCGAGGUAGUCAUACUCGUUUGAUCGGGGUAUGUCAUGUUCCCUUAGCAAAAUCCUUUGGAAAGAGGAACCAUAGCGGGUAAUAGUCCCGUAUGUGAAAAGCGAACAUGCCAGAUGAGACUAUCCUCAAGUAGGGCGGGACCGGUGAAAUCCCGUCUGAAUCUGGGAGCACUACACUUCCAAGACUAAAUAUUACUUCAGAUCGAUAGCGAACUAGUACCGUGAGGGAAAGGUGAAAAGCAUCCCGGUGAGGGAGGUGAAAUAGAACUGAAACCAUGUGCUAACGAAGAGUUGGAGCGGUCGCUUGCGACCGUGACAGCGUGCUUUUUGCAGAACGAGCCAACGAGUUAGUUUUAUACGGCUUGUCUAAGGGGUCAAACCCCCGGAGACGUAGUGAAAGCGAGCCUUAAUAGGGCGUUUGUCGUAUGGACUAGACCCGAAGCCGGACGAGCUACAUAUGAGCAGGUUGAACCUUGGGUAACACCAGGGGGAGGACCGAACCCACGAGCCGUGCAACACUCGGGGAUGACUUGUGUGUAGGGGAGAAAUUCCAAUCGAGCUCGGCAAUAGCUGGUUCUCUCCGAAAUAGCUUGAGGGCUAGCGUCAUGUAAUUACAUCCAAGAGGUAGAGCUACUGAAUGGAAACUCGCGGUUCGCCGUAGAUUUUCCAAUCAAACUCCGAAUUCUUGUGAUGCGUAUCAUGGCAGUCAGAAAUCCGGCGCUAAGGUCGGAUCUCAAAAGGGAAACAGCCCAGAUCAUCAUCUAAGGUCCCUAAAUCUAUGUUAAGUGGUAAAGGAAGUGAAGUUUCUUAUACAUCUAGGAGGUUGGCUUAGAAGCAG